rnacentral:lncRNA from 1 species
GUUAAAUGUAAUAUAAGAAACUUAAGGACUUAAAUUUUAUACCUUUUUCAUAGAAUUUUUCCAGUUACUCAUUUUUAUUUUAUUUUACAAAAGCAUUAGACUGGAAAAGCAAUCAAAAUAAAACUGAAACAAAAGCUUAGUACUUCACCACAGAUGGUUCGAGAAGCACUGUUCCACCGGAUUAAACGAAAUCAAUGGUUUUCAAACCAUGUAGUGUCAAGUGCCCCAAGUAUUGAAGAUUAAUCGAGUAAGAAAGAACUCAAUGAAAUCCCACUGGUCUGAAGUUAGUCGAGUGAGCGUAUGUCUUACAUGAUUGCCGGGAAACAUAGUCAAUCAAAGCAUAUUUUGGCAUGCAUGCAGAGGACACUUCAGCUCCCAGAGUUGUUCUCACAUCAAACAGGCCUGAGGUCACAAAGUCACCUCUGACAUUAAUGGAAUGGGGAAGCAUUCUCAGGAAGAGGAGCUACAGAAAAGGGAAUUGGAAUAAACUAACAGUGACACAGUCGACCACAUCGGAAGGAGCCUAGGCUUUAUCAUGGGGCCAUGGAAAGCCAGGGAACAAUCGUAAACAGAAAUGCAUUUAAAGGUGAUGCAUAUAUGUAAAGAUCUCAGCAACUAAACAAGGACUAUACAGAUGUCAGUAUCUAUUACUCACUUAACCAACUGCAAUAAACUUGUUAUUCUGAUUUCUGGACUACGUAUC